rfam:Ciona savignyi cont_23766, whole genome shotgun sequence.
GCCCCGGUGGCCUAAUGGAUAAGACAUUGGCCUCCUAAGCCAAGCAUUGUGGGUUAGAGUCCCACCCCGGGGUG